ACGGAGGAUGCAAGCGUUAAUCGGAAUCACUGGGCUUAAAGGGCGCGUAGGCGGAGUAGUAAGUCGGAGGUGAAAUCCCUCGGCUCAACCGUAGAACUGCAUUUGAUACUGCGACGCUUGAGUACCGGAGAGGGAGGCGGAAUGCGUCAUGUAGCAGUGAAAUGCGUAGAUAUGUGGCGGAACACCAGUGGCGAAGGCAGCUUACUGGGCGGUAACUGACGCUGAUGUGCGAAAGCGUGGGGAUCAAACAG
rnacentral:rRNA from 1 species